CCUACGGGUGGCAGCAGUGAGGAAUAUUGGUCAAUGGACGAGAGUCUGAACCAGCCAAGUAGCGUGACGGAUGACUGCCCUAUGGGUUGUAAACUUCUUUUAUAAAGGAAUAAAACGAGGCACGUGUGCCUUUUUGCAUGUACUUUAUGAAUAAGGAUCGGCUAACUCCGUGCCAGCAGCCGCGGUAAUACGGAGGAUCCGAGCGUUAUCCGGAUUUAUUGGGUUUAAAGGGAGAGUAGAUGGGUUGUUAAGUCAGUUGUGAAAGUUUGCGGCUCAACCGUAAAAUUGCAAUUGAUACUGGCAGUCGUGAGUACAGUUGAGGUAAGCGGAAUUCGUGGUGUAGCGGUGAAAUGCUUAGAUAUCACGAAGAACCCCGAUUGCGAAGGCAGCUUACUAAACUGUGACUGACAUUGAUGCUCGAAAGUGUGGGUAUCAAACAGGAUUAGAUACCCUUGUAGUC
rnacentral:rRNA from 1 species